UUUACCCGUUAUUCCAAUAUCACACAGUUUGAUAAAUAAGCCACCAAGCCACACCCGAUCAAAUGCCUUUUCAUUAUCUAAGAAUGCACAGUAUACAGGCGACAUCCUUUCAUUGUAAUAUGCAAUGUUUUCUUUUAACGAAUUUUUAGUUCAACUUUGUGAUUAAAAUGAUCGAAUUUAAGGUUUUGUUAAACAAUUGAAAUACAGAAACAUUUUAUUUUAUUUCAUAUUUUUAUUGACACAA